AUUGAACGCUGGCGGCAUGCUUUACACAUGCAAGUCGAACGGCAGCGCGGGCUUCGGCCUGGCGGCGAGUGGCGAACGGGUGAGUAAUACAUCGGAACGUGCCCAGUAGUGGGGGAUAGCUCGGCGAAAGCCGGAUUAAUACCGCAUACGACCUGCGGGUGAAAGCGGGGGAUCUUCGGACCUCGCGCUAUUGGAGCGGCCGAUGGCAGAUUAGCUAGUUGGUGGGGUAAAGGCCUACCAAGGCGACGAUCUGUAGCUGGUCUGAGAGGACGACCAGCCACACUGGGACUGAGACACGGCCCAGACUCCUACGGGAGGCAGCAGUGGGGAAUUUUGGACAAUGGGCGAAAGCCUGGUCCAGCAAUGCCGCGUGUGUGAUGAAGGCCUUCGGGUUGUAAAGCACUUUUGGCGGGAACGAAAAGGACUGUGCCAAUACCACGGUUCGAUGACGGUACCCGCAGAAUAAGCACCGGCUAACUACGUG
rnacentral:rRNA from 1 species